rnacentral:rRNA from 1 species
UACGUAGGGGGCAGGCGUUGUCCGGAAUCAUUGGGCGUAAAGAGCGUGUAGGCGGCCAGAUAAGUCCGCUGUGAAAUCUCGAGGCUCAACUUCGAGCUGUCGGUGGAAACUGUCUGGCUAGAGUCCGGAAGAGGAGAAUGGAAUUCCUGGUGUAGCGGUGAAAUGCGCAGAUAUCAGGAAGAACACCCGUGGCGAAGGCGGUUCUCUGGGACGGUACUGACGCUGAGACGCGAAAGCGUGGGGAGCGAAUAGG